CGUUAGCGGCGGACGGGUGAGUAACACGUGGGUAACCUACCUAUAAGACUGGGAUAACUUCGGGAAACCGGAGCUAAUACCGGAUAAUAUUUCGAACCGCAUGGUUCGAUAGUGAAAGAUGGUUUUGCUAUCACUUAUAGAUGGACCUGCGCCGUAUUAGCUAGUUGGUAAGGUAACGGCUUACCAAGGCGACGAUACGUAGCCGACCUGAGAGGGUGAUCGGCCACACUGGAACUGAGACACGGUCCAGACUCCUACGGGAGGCAGCAGGG
rnacentral:rRNA from 1 species